ACGCGUUUUUUACAACGUGUAGGAACAGGCGCACACUCAUCCCAGGGUGCGCGUUUGUUCAAAGAUUUCCCAACAGAGAGAUGUGCGCGGGGCCCCACCCUGAAACUCCACUCACACGCGCUUUCCUCGAGAGGAAACCCAGCAACUCGCCAACAACCCAAGACUGGAGCAGCUGCACUGAGGCAGAGCAGGAACACAUGCACUCAAAGCUGCCUCACGAAAGAACAGCAGCAGCCUCUUGAAGACAACUGAGUUGAAGUAGCUCCUCUGCCUGGUUGGGACGGACGGACGGACAGACGGACGGACGGACUUUCUGGUUUUCUCUCCCAGAGACAGAAGUGAACGACUGACAGCGCAUUUUCUGUGCCACAGUUCUGGUUUGUAUGGAUCAGCAGGCAGGUGGCCUCAAUCAGCAUAAAGUCCAGUAUAAGUCAAUGUGCCAGUCAGCCACAGGACUUGGAGGCAGACAGGCUUUCUUUAGUUCACUUCACGCUAACGCAUACGCAGAGUGUGAAACGCCGGUGAGACGGCUGUAGGGAGCAAAAGCAAAAGCACUAAAUCAGAUGUAAUUACACAGUCUGCGCUGCCAAAAGCCCAGAAUGAGACACCUGGGUCUCACCUCAGCAAAGUAAUAAUAGUUAAGAGAGUCCAGUCUGACACAAAGUGCACAACUGGCUUAUUAGGAAGGUGGUUAGCACCAACAAG